CGGACGGGUGAGUAACGCGUGGGUAACCUGCCUCAUACAGGGGAUAACAGUUAGAAAUGACUGCUAAUACCGCAUAAGACCACAGCACCGCAUGGUGCAGGGGUAAAAACUCCGGUGGUAUGAGAUGGACCCGCGUCUGAUUAGGUAGUUGGUGGGGUAACGGCCUAUCAAGCCGACGAUCAGUAGCCGACCUGAGAGGGUGACCGGCCACAUUGGGACUGAGACACGGCCCAA
rnacentral:rRNA from 1 species